rnacentral:rRNA from 1 species
GGGGAUAAUUGAGUUGUCACCAGCAAGAGCACAUAUCGACCUGGUGGCUUGCUACUUCGAUGUCGUCUCUUCCCAACCUCCUGGUGCAGCAGCUGGGAAGGGUGGGGUUGUUCGCCCAUUAAAGGGGAUCGUGAGAUGGGUUUAGACCGUCGUGAGACAGGUUUGUUGCUUGGCGGUUGNGGCGUGAUGCCUGAUCGGAAGGGCCGUUUAGUACGAGAGGAACGAUGGCUCGGAGUCACUAGUUUACCAGUUGUCCGGCAGGGCAAUGCUGGGUAGCCACACUCCAAUGGAUAAGAGCUGAAAGCAUCUAAGCUCGAAGCCAGCCGAAAGACGAGGCAUCUCAGGGAACUCGUAAAAGACGAGAUUGAUAGAAUGCGGGUGUAAGCACCGAGGCAACGAGGUGUUCAGCCCAGCAUCACUAA